CUGAAUUCUGAGCAGCUUCCUGCCUUCCUGCAGACUCGCCAGGAACAGGUGGAACAGAACGGUUCCGUAAGCGCCACCCCUGCGCUGCUUCUUAGAGCAUGCCAGUCCCUCAUGCCCUCCCUUCCUUGGAGUUCUGCUUGGCACCGAGAAGUCACUGCGCCGAGUUAAGGGACACAGAAAAAUCAAGAAAAAAACUCCUGAUUCCCUGCAAGGAGCAAUGGGGGAGGCUUGCUCUCAGCUCCUGGUUGGAUGGUGCGAGAUAUUUGGCUGCGGAUGAUCAGAGAGCUUGGUCAGUCCGACCUUCCCCCAGCUUCAGCGGAGCUCGCCUCUUUCGCGCCACAGCUGGAGCAGCUGCCCUGUUCUGUCCGCACUGGCUUCGGUGCGCAGCUCUUGGUGCCCCACGCAGCGUUUUUAUGCACGUUUUUAUUCUGGUCCAUGGAUCUGUGUACCACUCACUGCUUGCAAGCCUGGAUGCUGAGGAGGGACCCUCGGGACUCCAGGAGGACUGGCUGUAACAGCUACUAGAUCCGAUGCAGUUUCCUCUCCUGGGAUAUCUGAGCGAGGCCCAUGGAUGCCGAGGGCCUCUUGGGGCUCUGACCCCAUGCUUUCUCCCCUCAGUCAUGAGCUCCUGCACAGCCCAAGGUACCCAGGCACGGACUGCACCCUGGCAGGCUCAUCCAGGACUCUGCAUGUCCCGUGGUCACAGCAGAUGAGCGGAAGCCUCGAGGGGCCAACUCUGAAACGGCGUGGUGGCGUGGUGGACCACCGGGAUGUCAUCUUGGCCCACCAGGCGCACAAAAUGCACAGCACCCCUCAGGCCAGAAGGAAAGAGUGGGAGUGAGUAUUCACGGGGCAGGCUGUAAGGGAGCUGUGCGGGGCUUGUGGGCCAGCCAAGCCUGAACUGGCAAGCUUCAGGGGAUAGAAUGCGCUGAUAUGGUGUGGGUGACUCCAGUUGUCCCUUGACAGUCCAUCAACCCUCUGCCUUAAGGUUGCCUGGAAUACUCUGAACCGGCUUUGUAAAAGACCCGGAUCCC
rnacentral:lncRNA from 1 species